CCUACGGGAGGCAGCAGUGGGGAAUAUUGCACAAUGGCGGAAACGCUGAUGCAGCAACGCCGCGUGAGUGAAGAAGUCAUUCGUGAUUUAAAGCUCUAUCUGCAGGGAAGAAAAUGACGGUACGUGACUAUGAAGCCGCGGCUAACUACGUGCCAGCAGCCGUGGCAAUACGUAGGGGGCAACCGUUAUCCGGAUUUACUGGGUGUAAAGGGAGCGUAGGGGGCGACGGAAGUGUGGAGGUAAAUGCCAGUGCCUAAACCUGGACCUGCUUUGGAAACUGUGUGGCUAGAGUGCAGGAGAGGUAAGUGGAAUGCCUAGUGUAGCGGUGAAAUGCGUAGAUAUUAGGCGGAACACCAGUGGCGAAGGCGGCUUACCGG
rnacentral:rRNA from 1 species